CUGAAAUUGUCCAGUUUCAUAGUUACAUAUUGUAAACUGAGUCUUGGAAAUAAUUUUAUGUAUCGAUAGAAUGGGCAGCCGACGCCGGAUUGUGAUACGAGCGCAGAAACAACCGAAACAUUCUCAGUUUCCGUGUAAUAAGCCAAAGAGCUACUCUGCAUAAUCUGAAAAGUCUACGACAAAAGUUAUAAUAAAUAAUAAAUAAGCUAAAAAAUUAUAAUAAAUAAUAAAUAAGCUUUUCUUAACUUUUUAUCGGCAUUCCACCUUUUAAGCUUUAGGCUACACAGGCGGCUUUUUCGAUGAGAGUUCAUAGAAGAUCGGAAAAUAAGCAGAAUUUUUAUACAUAUAAAAGCGUGUUUUACUUAUGCGCCGGUACACUUUCUGCUGUAUUUCGCAAACUUCAUUACAAUUUGACCCCAACUCUAAGACUCUAAAGAAAUGCACAAAAAAGCAAACAAAUGCAUAACGAAACAAACAGAAGUACUGCACAACCGUGCCGCUAUUUUAUACCCAUGAAUGCGCUCGAAUCCCGGCUUGUCUUAACGCCAGAAAAAUCUCAUACGUAUCUUUAAGAUACAGAUCCUUAAUCGGUCCCCAGAACGCCGACAUGGGCGUGGCAUUCACAUGAUGUUCAAAAUAAAAAUCAUCAAUCAGAACCUGCAAUUGUGGAUCAGCCAGUAACUGCCGCACCAAACGGUUCUCAAUCUCCGGCGUGUCAAUAUCCAUCUUGACCACGACAAAGUCCUCGGCGCUGACGACGCGCUGUAACGUAUUCCACGGAUUGCGAUGGCUGUCGGGGUUGGCGGACGCCGGGAAAUUGUACCAGUGGUACGUGUGAUGCAGCUCCGCCGGGAUAGAUUGGAAGAUGGUUUCGGGGUCGUAGGGUUUGGCUUCCCAGGCGAAGAUCCGGUGGAAAUCCACGCCGCGCAGCUUGUACUGAUCGACUAUCCAUUUCUGGCUGGCACCGCCUACAAAUUAAGUACAAAUCAGUGUGCACAGCCCGGUGAUUUAUUUCGCCCUUCUAAAAGGUAUUGCGCACUUCGGGACGGAUGCCCAAAGAGCUGUAUCCGUCGAUAAAAUCCCUGGCUGCGACGAUGCUGUUGAAAAAGACCAGAUAGCGCAGUCUGAUCUGUUUGUGCUGCAGAAUGCGGCAUAAAGCCAGUAGGCUUUGAUGGUGGCGGCCGUGUAGAUAAAUAACGCUGGUCGCUGCUGAGGCGCAGUGGUGUACGGCCAGCGCCAGACUAUACGAACUGGCGAUGAAUUUUCCUUCGCGGAAGACAAGUUCUCUUUCCAGGGAUUUCCAGCUGAGGACGUCAGCCCAGAACCUCGAUACACUAAUAAAAAAUAAUUUUACUGGGUCAUUUAGCAGAAUACCUUGAACGAAUAACGCAUUUCCGGAGGAAUAAAGCCAAAUCUGCCGCACAUUUUGACGAUCUGUCGUUGACAUGCGUCGAGGUACGCGCACACAUCGCCAAACAGAUCCACCGUCAGUUCUUCAAAGCCAAACCAGUCUUCCAUCGAGCUAGAAUCUGUUCGCGUCGGAUUGUCAAUAAUAUUCACAGUUAAAUUUCUCUGCUGCAGUUCCGCCGCAAAACGUCGCACUUCCGGCGUGAAGGACUCGAUCAUACUCGUCCUACAGAUCACCCAGACACCGUCCAUCUCGACACCUACCAGCACGGUUGCGGUUUGGUCCGUCCACUCCCAUUCCGCCUGGAGGUCCUGCACGCGAGCAACGGCUUCCGCACAAAUCUGCUGCAAAUUAAUCUUGAUUUUCUGGAAGGUCUCCGGUCGAACCGCUCGCCGUUUCUUCCGCCGGCGCAACCGGCGGUGCAUCCAGUACGGGCCGUCAUUGACGACCAACCGACCGCUCUCGGCGGUGUCUACCGUGGCAAGAUGCCAGUGACUGGACGGGCGCUGCGCCUUCCCAGUGUUGGGUUGCCACUGUAGCAGUUGACAGGGAUACCAGCGCUCGGGAGCGUCGUCGGUUAUCCGCAGACGAACCUCCAGUUCCGCAGUUCUUGAGGUUUUCUGGAUGUCGUCAUCAGAAUCAUCGUCGCUGACGAGAUACGCCCGUUCGAAAGGAACGGUCUCCUGUUGGCGCUGACGACAUUGGAAGUUAACGGUCAGAUGUGUGGGGUUGCAGUCAAUAAGACUGCCGCGUGUCAAGUUGCCGUCGGCGUCCAGGACAUCGAGCAGCAAUUCUUGUCGACUACAGGCGUACUUCCGUUGAUAAUGUAUAUCCAUUAUGAUUUAUUUGCUGUCGAAAUGCCAGCGCAUAUAUUUUCUGCGCAUUGAAG